UACGUAGGGUGCGAGCGUUGUCCGGAAUUAUUGGGCGUAAAGGGCUCGUAGGCGGUUUGUUGCGUCGGGAGUGAAAACUCGGGGCUCAACUCCGAGCUUGCAGUCGAUACGGGCAGGCUAGAGUUCGGCAGGGGAGACUGGAAUUCCUGGUGUAGCGGUGAAAUGCGCAGAUAUCAGGAGGAACACCGGUGGCGAAGGCGGGUCUCUGGGCAGUAACUGACGCUGAGGAGCGAAAGCGUGGGGAGCGAACAGG
rnacentral:rRNA from 1 species